AACGCACAUUGCGCCCUUUGGUAUUCCUUAGGGCAUGCCUGUUCGAGCGUCAUUUAAACCUUCAAGCUCAGCUUGGUGAUGGGCGACUGUCCCCCCCCCUCGCGGGGGGGACUCGCCUCAAAAACAUUGGCGGCCGGUACAUUGGCUUCGAGCGCAGCAGAAACGCGGUCUCGAGCCCGGUGGAUCGGCUCCCAUAAGCCUAUUCUUUUAUUUUGACCUCGGAUCAGGUAGGGAUACCCGCUGAACUUAA
rnacentral:misc_RNA from 1 species